GACGAACGCUGGCGGCGUGCUUAACACAUGCAAGUCGAACGGAAAGGCCCUGCUUUUGUGGGGUGCUCGAGUGGCGAACGGGUGAGUAACACGUGAGUAACCUGCCCUUGACUUUGGGAUAACUUCAGGAAACUGGGGCUAAUACCGGAUAGGAGCUCCUGCUGCAUGGUGGGGGUUGGAAAGUUUCGGCGGUUGGGGAUGGACUCGCGGCUUAUCAGCUUGUUGGUGGGGUAGUGGCUUACCAAGGCUUUGACGGGUAGCCGGCCUGGGAGGGUGACCGGCCACAUUGGGACUAAGAUACGGCCCAGACUCCUACGGGAGGCAGCGGUGGGGAAUAUUGCACAAUGGGCGGAAGCCUGAUGCAGCAACGCCGCGUGCGGGAUGACGGCCUUCGGGUUGUAAACCGCUUUCGCCUGUGACGAAGCGUGAGUGACGGUAAUGGGUAAAGAAGCACCGGCUAACUACGUG
rnacentral:rRNA from 1 species